AUAACAUGAUUUAUAUUUUUAAAACAUCAUUCCUUACAGAGAAGAUUAGUAUGGCCCCUGUGCAACAAUGACAUGCAAAUUUGUGAAGCAUUCCAUAUUUUU